rnacentral:lncRNA from 1 species
GCAAUAACCAAUACUGCAGAAAACAAAGGAAGAAGGUCCUAACAUCUGCCAUCAAGGGGCUUCUGGCAAUUUCUGUCUCCUCGGGGUCAAGGGAUGCUAACCCUCACCACAGACAGCUGCAAUUGUAAACCGUUCAUUUGUACUGCACUCUGGACAUAUUUGAGUCUGACUUCAGAUGCUCCAACCCAGAUGAUCUGACCUCUGAACCUACAUGUUAUGAUGCAUAGGACCCAGAGAGUCCUUUCAGGUUUAGCAGGGAUUUGAAUUCAGCAAAUUAUCUAUUCUGAGCAAAAGACAAAAGCUUAACAUAACGUACCUAAACAUAUUUGAAGUUGUCUGCCCUUUGUUAAUUGCAUACCUGUUUUGUUGCUACUUUCUUUUCAGUUAUGUUACACAAUUAAACACAGCACCUACUUUCCCUAAGCCUCUGGGUACGUCCACUGCUCCUACAAGAUGUUUA